rnacentral:rRNA from 1 species
AUUGAACGCUGGCGGCAGGCCUAACACAUGCAAGUCGAGCGAGCGGCGGACGGGUGAGUAAUGUAUGGGGACUGCCCGAUCGAGGGGGAUAACUACUGGAACCGGUAGCUAAUACCGCAUACUAUCGGAUAACCCAUAUGGGAUUAGCUGGUAGGUGAGGUAAUGUCUCACCUAGGCGACGAUCCCUAGCUGGUCUGGGAGGAUGAUCAGCCGCCUGGGGGCUGGGACACGGCCAAGAGUCCUACGGAGGGAGCAGUGGGGAAUAUUGCGCAAUGGUCGCAAGUCUGAUGCAGCCAUGCCGCGUGUAUGAAGAAGGCGCUAGGGUUGUAAAGUACUUCCAGUCGGGAGGCGUUACAGACAGAAGAAGCACCGGCUAACUCCGUGCCAGCAGCCGCGGUAAUAC